GAUGAACGCUGGCGGCGUGCUUAACACAUGCAAGUCGAACGGGAAACCUUUUAAUGAAGCUUCGGCAGAUUUAGCUGGUUUCUAGUGGCGGACGGGUGAGUAACGCGUGGGUAACCUGCCUUAUACAGGGGGAUAACAGUCAGAAAUGACUGCUAAUACCGCAUAAGCGCACAGGACCGCAUGGUCCGGUGUGAAAAACUCCGGUGGUAUAAGAUGGACCCGCGUUGGAUUAGCUUGUUGGUGGGGUAACGGCUCACCAAGGCGACGAUCCAUAGCCGGCCUGAGAGGGUGAACGGCCACAUUGGGACUGAGACACGGCCCAGACUCCUACGGGAGGCAGCAGUGGGGAAUAUUGCACAAUGGGGGAAACCCUGAUGCAGCGACGCCGCGUGAAGGAAGAAGUAUCUCGGUAUGUAAACUUCUAUCAGCAGGGAAGAUAGUGACGGUACCUGACGAAGAAGCCCCGGCUAACUACGU
rnacentral:rRNA from 1 species